rnacentral:rRNA from 1 species
CCUACGGGGUGCAGCAGUGGGGAAUAUUGGACAAUGGGCGAAAGCCUGAUCCAGCCAUGCCGCGUGUGUGAAGAAGGCCUUCGGGUUGUAAAGCACUUUCAGUGGGGAAGAAAGCCUUGGGGCUAAUACCCUCGAGGAAGGACAUCACCCACAGAAGAAGCACCGGCUAACUCCGUGCCAGGAGCCGCGGUAAUACGGAGGGUGCGAGCGUUAAUCGGAAUUACUGGGCGUAAAGCGCGCGUAGGCGGUCUGAUAAGCCGGUUGUGAAAGCCCCGGGCUCAACCUGGGAACGGCAUCCGGAACUGUCAGGCUAGAGUGCAGGAGAGGAAGGUAGAAUUCCCGGUGUAGCGGUGAAAUGCGUAGAGAUCGGGAGGAAUACCAGUGGCGAAGGCGGUCUUCUGGACUGACACUGACGCUGAGGUGCGAAAGCGUGGGUAGCAAACAGGAUUAGAUACCCCGGUAGUC